rnacentral:tRNA from 1 species
GCCCGGGUGGCGGAAUUGGUAGACGCACCAGAUUUAGGUUCUGGCGCCGCAAGGUGUGGGGGUUCGAGUCCCUUCCCGGGCACCA